CAGUCGCCACGGGAAUACGAAGGGGGCUAGCGUUGUUCGGAAUUACUGGGCGUAAAGCGCACGUAGGCGGAUAUUUAAGUCAGGGGUGAAAUCCCAGAGCUCAACUCUGGAACUGCCUUUGAUACUGGGUAUCUUGAGUAUGGAAGAGGUGAGUGGAAUUCCGAGUGUAGAGGUGAAAUUCGUAGAUAUUCGGAGGAACACCAGUGGCGAAGGCGGCUCACUGGUCCAUUACUGACGCUGAGGUGCGAAAGCGUGGGGAGCAAACAGGAUUAGAUACCCGCGUAGUCCCUGUCUCUUAUAC
rnacentral:rRNA from 1 species